UACGUAUGGUGCAAGCGUUAAUCGGAAUUACUGGGCGUAAAGCGUGCGCAGGCGGUUCGGAAAGAAAGAUGUGAAAUCCCAGGGCUCAACCUUGGAACUGCAUUUUUAACUACCGGGCUAGAGUGUGUCAGAGGGAGGUGGAAUUCCGCGUGUAGCAGUGAAAUGCGUAGAUAUGCGGAGGAACACCGAUGGCGAAGGCAGCCUCCUGGGAUAACACUGACGCUCAGGCACGAAAGCGUGGGGAGCAAACAGG
rnacentral:rRNA from 1 species